GUAUGUAUGUUUGUUUGUAUGUUUGUACGCAUAUAUAUAUAUAUAUAUGUAUAAAUAUAUAUAUAUAUAGAGCUAAUACAUGCGAAAAUGCCCGACUUCGGAAGGGCUGUAUUUAUUAGAUACAAAACCAAUGCGCUUCGGCGGUUUCUUGGUGAUCCAUAAUAACUUUUUGGAUCGCAUGGCCUUGUGCCGGCGACGUUUCAUUCAAAUUUCUGCCCUAUCAACUUUCGAUGGUAAG
rnacentral:ncRNA from 1 species